rnacentral:rRNA from 1 species
GAUGAACGCUGACAGAAUGCUUAACACAUGCAAGUCAAAGUGGCGGACGGGGGAGUAACGCGUAAAGAACUUGCCUCCCGGAUAGAGACAACAUUUGGAAACGAAUGCUAAUAUCUGAUACUGUGAGAGAGCUUUGCGUCCCAUUGGCUUGUUGGAGAGGUAACGGCUCACAAAGGCGAUGAUGGGUAGCCGGCCUGCGAGGGUGAUCGGCCACAAGGGGACUGGGACGCGGCCGUUAGGCCUACGGGAGGCAGCAGUGAGGACUAUUGGACGAUCGACCAAAGUCUGAUCAAGCAAUUCUGUGUGCACGAUGAAGUUUUCGGAAUGUAAAGUGCUUUCAGUUGAGAAGCGGUACCAACAGAAGAAGUGACGGCUAAAUACGUGCCAGCCGCCGCGGUAAUAC